rnacentral:sRNA from 2 species
ACGGACCACUCGUACAUUUCGAUUCUGAGCGCGCCCUCCGCACCCACCUGACGACCGCCAGCGUUCUUGUGUUGGCC